UCAGAGGGGGGUAGAAUUNCACGUGUAGCAGUGAAAUGCGUAGAGAUGUGGAGGAAUACCGAUGGCGAAGGCAGCCCCCUGGGAUAAUACUGACGUUCAUGCUCGAAAGCGUGGGUAGCAAACAGGAUUAGAUACCCUGGUAGUCCACGCCCUAAACGAUGUCAAUUAGCUGUUGGGGCACUUGAUGCCUUAGUAGCGAAGCUAACGCGUGAAAUUGACCGCCUGGGGAGUACGGUCGCAAGAUUAAAACUCAAAGGAAUUGACGGGGACCCGUACAAGCGGUGGAUGAUGUGGAUUAAUUCGAUGCAACGCGAAGAACCUUACCUGGUCUUGACAUGUACGGAAUCUUCCAGAGACGGAAGAGUGCCUUCGGGAGCCGUAACACAGGUGCUGCAUGGCUGUCGUCAGCUCGUGUCGUGAGAUGUUGGGUUAAGUCCCGCAACGAGCGCAACCCUUGUCAUUAGUUGCCACCAUUCAGUUGGGCACUCUAAUGAGACUGCCGGUGACAAACCGGAGGAAGGUGGGGAUGACGUCAAGUCCUCAUGGCCCUUAUGACCAGGGCUUCACACGUCAUACAAUGGUCGGUACAGAGGGUAGCCAAGCCGCGAGGUGGAGCCAAUCUCAGAAAACCGAUCGUAGUCCGGAUUGCACUCUGCAACUCGAGUGCAUGAAGUCGGAAUCGCUAGUAAUCGCAGGUCAGCAUACUGCGGUGAAUACGUUCCCGGGUCUUGUACACACCGCCCGUCACACCAUGGGAGUGGGGGAUACCAGAAGU
rnacentral:rRNA from 1 species